rnacentral:rRNA from 1 species
UACGUAGGUGGCAAGCGUUGUCCGGAUUUACUGGGCGUAAAGAGCGCGCAGGCGGUCGUUCAAGUCGAGUGUGAAAGCCCCCGGCUCAACUGGGGAGGGUCACUCGAUACUGAUCGACUUGAAGGCAGGAGAGGGAAGCGGAAUUCCCGGUGUAGUGGUGAAAUGCGUAGAGAUGUGGAGGAACACCAGUGGCGAAGGCGACUUUCUGGCCUAUAACUGACGCUGAGGCGCGAAAGCGUGGGGAGCAAACAGG